GGGGGAUAGCCCGGGGAAACCCGGAUUAAUACCGCAUAAGAUAGUUGGAUGGCAUCAUUUGACUAUGAAACAUUUAUGGCUGAAAGAAGGGCAUGCGUAAGAUUAGUUAGUUGGUAGGGUAACGGCUUACCAAGACAGUGAUCUUUAGGGGUUCUGAGAGGAAGAUCCCCCACACUGGUACUGAGACAGGGACCAGACUCCUACGGGAGGCAGCAGUAGGGAAUAUUGGGCAAUGCACGCAAGUGUGACCCAGCCAUGCCGCGUGCAGGAAGAAGGCCUUCUGGGUUGUAAAACUGCUUUUGCAAGCCAACAAAACGCUGCCUGCGGGCAGCCUUGAGGGUAGCUUGAGAAUAAGCACCGGCUAACUCCGUGCCAGCAGCCGCGGUAAUACGGAGGGUGCAAGCGUUGUCCGGAUUUAUUGGGUUUAAAGGGUGCGUAGGCGGGAGAUUAAGUCAGGGGUGAAAGACGAUUGCUCAACGAUCGCAGUGCCUUUGAUACUGAUUUUCUUGAGUGCAG
rnacentral:rRNA from 1 species